ACUGACUUCCUUUCCCACUGGAUGAAGGCAUUUUCUCCCUGGGGUAUUUACUCUCCAGCGCUGUCACUGUUCCAGAAGGCACGUUCAUGUGCCACUGUGGGUGAAGCGGUCAGCAAUGUGAGGUGCCAUCCUGUCUGAAUAAUACAGUAUUAUUCCUGUGUGUUUUCUUUUUUUUUUUUCCCUGCGUGUUUUCUUAUGUAAAAGUAGUCCAGCUAUCACAAUGAAAAUGGAGCAUUUCUAAUAAGAAAGGUAUAGUUAUUUAUUGUUUUGCUUCUGAGAUAUAGGACUCUAUACUUUGAAAAACAGUGUAGAAUCACUACUUUUUUCCAUAUUUGCUUUAUGGAAUAAGAAUAACUAUUAUACACUCCACUUUGGUAGUAUCAAUUAUCCUUCACAAAUUUGGUGUAAAAACAUUGACCUACAGCCUUUGUAAUUUUAAUAAUUACCAAUUUUCCAUUAUUUGGUUAAAAUUUUCAAAGUCUAGUUGAUCUCAUUUCUUUUACUAUUUAUUAUGGAUAUUCUGGCAUCAUGGGUUAGCUAACUAUACCAUAAAUACUCAGUUUCCUUACUUGUUUGUCACAUUGCAAAUUCCUAGACAUCAUACCUUAAAUAUUUUUCCUAGUAAAUGUAAUAUCUGUUUUAUGUUGGGGUAAUAAGUUAUGUGCCCAGUACGUGGCCUUUGGCUUCUCAUUUAAUGCACAGUAGGUGUAAAUUAAUAUAUCACAGCACAGCUUUUCAGAGGGCUAUAACUAGACUGUGCCUACAGCUGGUUUGCAGUAGAGAAAAUUCUCUUCUAAAAGAGCUACAACUUUGUGCUUGUGUCCAAAAUUUAAAGAUUUCCUUCUUGGAUGUGCUAUGUGUUUCAAGGAUUCUACUCUGUAGAACAUUUAAGAAAACUCUUGCAGAAUCAAGGAUUUCAGAAACAGAAGGGAAUUGAGAGCACACCAUUUGCCUGGACGGAGAAAGGGAACAGCAGAAAAAAGUAAGUGGGGCUAAAAGUCAUUUACAGCUCAAAAAUAUUUUUUCUGCCAUAAGUGCUUCAUUGCUUUUAUUCAGAAUAAUGCUCAGCCAUGUAAUGUAUAAUCCAUGUAAUGUUCACGGUGCAAUUUUAUCUGUUUUCUCACGAAAUCUGGGAAUUCAAGAGGACAAACUCGUGUAUGCCUAUCAGACUUUAUUCUCCUUGAUGUCAGGGAGAACUUUAAUCAUUCUAUCAUAUUGAUGGACACAUGGAAAAUGCUUCUGUCGUACAGCUGGAGAUGAUGCUGAAAUGUCAUUUCUUAAAUUUGUGAAUGGAAAUUAUAGUUAGGUAUCUGUGACACAGGGAUGCAGGACUGUGUGUAAAAAACCAUUUACAGAUGUUGUAUGACUUCAGGUAACAAGCCAAAGAAUUAUGGAGGCACAAAUAUACAACUAUAAGUUGAGCUUUGACUAGAUUCUCAGUGUGGUCUCUAGACCGAGAUUAUGAGGAACUUAGUAGAAAUGCAAAUAUUCUAAAUACACUGAAUAAGAAACUCUGAGAAUGAGGUUUCCACAUUUGUGUUUUAACAAGCCGUCUUUGUAAUUCCGUUGCAUGUUAGAGUUUUGAGAAUCCCUGGACCAGGGGAUGCUUAGCUUGAAUCAGUGAGUGAUCUUAGGGAGGUAGCUUCAUCCUUGGGUUUCAAUUUUCUCUUUUAUAAUUAAGAAUUACUCCAUACUAAAUCUAAUGAGAAGAGCAUCCUUUUGCUUUACUCUUCUUAGAAUAAGGUACAAACAUAUGCCCCAGCUGGUUUCACUUGGUUUAUUGGAUAUAACAUACAUCCUUUUUAAAAAAAAAAAAUAAAGAUUUUAGGGCAGCCCA
rnacentral:lncRNA from 12 species